GUUUCGCCCACAUCUUGUUAUUAGGCAUCUAGAAUAUUUCUUGUUUCUCUUAUGUUGUUAUCUGAGGCCACUGAAAAAAAUAGAGAUGUAGCCUCUGCAUAAUAAUGCUUGUGUUGGCAGCAUUUAUCCUUUCCCCUCCUCUACAAUAAACCAUACUAAUAAUUCCUAACCCAUUUAUAAGUCUUCCUGACAUACAAGCAUGAAAUCGAUUACAAACAAAAGGUAAUUUUAAUUUGCAUAAUAUACAAUAAAUUUAGGGUUACUAAACACAUUAUCAACUAAAAGUUUGCUAAGAUUUUUUUAGAUUAUGUAAUAUAAAUUUUUAAUCUAAUAACUAAUUACAGUGUUCACAAUACUUUGAAAAUAAGGAACUUUGAUUUUACCAAGUCUUUUCCAAUCAUCAAUAGGCCCUUCCAAUCAUCAAUGAGCAUCUAUUUUACUUUUUUUUUUUUUAAAGAUUUUAUUUAUUUUUUCUCCUUCCCAAAGCCCCCCGGUACAUAGUUGUAUAUUCUUCGUUGUGGGUCCUUCUAGUUGUGGCAUGUGGGACGCUGCCUCAACGUGGUUUGAUGAGCAGUAUCAUGUCCACACUCAGGAUUUGAACCAACGAAACACUGGGCCACCUGCAGCAGAGCGCGUGAACUUAACCACUCGGCCAUGGGGCCAGCCCCUAUUUUACUUUUUUUAAGAUUUUAUUUUUCCUUUUUUCUCGCCAAAGCUCCCCGGUACAUAGUUCUGUAUUUUUAGUUGUGGGUCUUUCUAAUUGUGACAUGUGGGAUGCCGCCUCAGCGUGGCUUGAUGAGUGGUGCCAUGUCCGUCAGGAUCCGAACCGACGAAACCCCAGGCCGCCAAAGCGGAGCACACGAACUUAACCACUCGGCCACGGGGCCGGCCCCCUGUGAGCAUUUAUUAUCUGUUACAUUCUGUGCAUUGUGCUGUCUCUGAUGACUUUAGCUCACUAGAAAAACAGACAAAAUACAAGUUUCUCCUGAACUUCUCACAAGUACGGAGGAGCAAGUUUCCAGGACCAUGAGCAAAAGAUUAUUUAUAUAGAAAAUCCUAAGAAAUCUACAAAACAACUAUUAAAAUUAAUAAGUGAAAUCAGCGAGAUUGCAGAAUACAAGAUUAAUAUACGAAAAUCAACUAUUUUAUAUACUAGUAAUAAAUAAUUUAGAAAAUGAACUUUAAAAAUAGCAAUCCACUCGUAAUAGUGUGAAAAAGCAUACUUAGGAAUAAAUUUGUGAAAAGAUGUGUAAGAUCUCUACACAAAAAGUCUCAAAACCUUCCUGAUAGAAAUUAAAGAUAUGAAUACAUGGAAAGAUACAACAUGUUCAUGGAUUAGAGACUCAAUAUUAUUAAUAUUUUAAUUCUACCCAUUGAUCUACAGAUUCAGUACAAUCCCAUCAGAAUGUCAGUGGAUAACAACAAAAACAAACCCAAUUUUAAAAAUGGGCAAAGGAUUUGAGUAGACAUUUCUCUAUUCAAUAUUCUCUAUUUCUGUAUUCUGUAAGAAUAUAUACAAAUGGUCAAUAAGCACAUGAAAAGAUACUGAACAUCAUUAGUCAUUAGGAAAAUGCAAAUCAAACCCACAUGAGGUACCCCUUCACACCUCCUAGGAUGGCUUUAAUAAAAAAAAAUUUAGUUAAAAAGCAAAACAAAAUAACAAGCGUUAACAAGAAUGCAGAGAAACUGGAACCCUCGUGCACUGCUGGUGGGAAUAUAAAAUGGUGGUGCUGCUGUGGAAGACACUUUGGCAGUUCCCCAAAAGUUAAACAUUGAGUUACCGUAUGAUCCAGCAAUUCUCCUCGUAGGUAUUUACCCAAAAGAACUGAAAGCAGGGACUCAAACUGAUAUCUGUACACCCAUGUUCGGAGCAGCAUUAUUCACAGCGGCCAAAAGGUGGAAGUAACCCAAGUAUUCGACAGGUGAGUAGAUAAAUAAAAUAUGAUAUAAUAUACAUACACACAAAUAUUAUCCAGCCAUAAAAAGGAAAUUCUGAUAUAUGCUACAACAUGGGUGAACCUUAAAAACAUGCUAAGCAAAAUAAGCCAGAUAUGAAAGACUCAAUACUGUAUGAUUGCAUUUAUAUGAAUGUCCAGGAUAGACAAACCUAUAGAGAGAAAAUACAGGUUCUCAGGGGCUGAAGGGAGUCGGUAAUGGGGAGUUAUUGUUUAAUGGGUACAGACUUUCUGUUUGGGAAGAUGAAAAAGUUCUGGAAAUAGCUAGUGGUGAUGGUUACACAUUGUGAUUGUACUUAAUGCCACUGAAUUGUACACUUAAAAUGGCUAAAAUGGUCAUUUUUAAGUUAUGUAUAUUUUACCAGAAUUUUUAAAUUCCAACAAGUUUUCUAAAAGAAAUUGACAAACUAAUUCUAAAAGUUAUAUGGAGAAAUACAAAGUACCUGUAAUACCCAAAGUAAUCUUGAGAAAAGCAAGUUGGAGGACUUAUAGUACUUCAUUUGAAGAUUAACUAGAAAGCUACAUCAGUCCAGACAGUAUGGUACUAGCAACAAGGAUUGACAAAUCAGCAUAACAGAAAAGAGAGCUCAGAAAUACCCACACUUACACAGUCGUUACAUUUUCAACGAAGACCCCAAAGCAGUUCAAUGGAGAAAGGAAAGUCUUUUUAACAAAUGGUGCUGGAAUGACUAGAUAUUCAUAUGUAAAAAAAGAAUUAGAAACUUGACCGCUACCACACACAAAUAGCAAUGUGAGAUGGAGCCUAGACCCAAGUGUAAAAGCUAACGCCAUAAAACUUCCAGUGGAAAACAUAAGAGAAUGUCUUCAUGAUUUGGGGUAUGCACAGGUUUCUUGAGCCACAAAAAGCAGUAACAAAAAAAGAAAAGGUUAUAAAUUAGACCUCAUCGAAAUUAAAAGCUUCUGCUUAUCAAAAGAUACCAUAAAGAAAAUGGAAAGGCAAGCCACAAGUUGGGAAGAAUAUUUGCAAAACAUAGAUUUAACAAUGGACUAGUAUCCGGGGUAAAGAAUUCCUGUAACUCAACAAUACAAAGACAGAUAGUACAUCCAGACAAUGGAAUCUUACUCAGCAAUAAAAAGAAAUGAGCUAUCAAACCACGAAAAGAUGGAGGAACCUUAAAUGCACAUUGCUAAGUGAAAGAAGCCACUCUGUAAAGGAAAGUGAAACUGUUCUGUAGAAUACUAUUAAUAGUGGAUACAUGUCAUCAUACUUUUGUCAAAACCCACAGAGUAUACUGCACAAAGAAUGAACUCUAAAACAAGCUAUGACUUUAGUUACUAUGUCAGUACUGGCUUAUCGGUUGUAACAAACGUACCCCACUAAUGCAAGAUGUUAAUAGGGAAAAUGGGGGAGAAGGAACUCUGUGCUUUCUGUUCAAUUUUUCUGUCAACAUAAAACUACUCAAAAAAAUAAAGUCUAUUAAAAAUGUGUUUUUUAAAAAAAAAAGACAAACCAAAUUUUUUUAAGUGGGCAAAGAUUUGUCCAGAUAUUUCACAAAGGAAAUAUAUAUAAAUGGUGUAAGUACAUGAAAAGUGCUUAACGUCAUUAGUCAUCAGGGAAAUGCAAACUGAAACCACAAGAUAUCAUUACUCACUCACCAGAAUGGCUAAAAUUAAAAAGACUGACUACACCAUAUAUUGGUAGGAUAUGGACCAACUGGAAAUCUCCAAGUUAUUGGUGGGAGUACAAAAUGGGUACAAUCACUUUGGAAAAAGUCUGGCAGUUUCUUAUAAAACUAAACAUGUAUAUACCUACCUUAUCACACAACAAUCCCACUCCUAGGUAUUUACUCAAGAGGGAAACAAAGCCACAAAAAGACUUGCACAGGAAUGUUCAUAGCAGUUUUGAGUAAUAAAUAAUAGCCAAAAACUGGAAGCAGCCCAAGUGCCUAUCCAUAGAACGGACAGAUGUUGUUACUCAAGGGGACGCUACUCAGCAAUCAAAGAAUUGACUAAUACAUGCAACAUUGGAUGAAUCUCAAAAACGCUAUGCUGAGUUUCUAGAAGACUUGCACAAAAGAGUAAAAAUUAUGUGACACCAUGUAAAUGAAAUUCUAGAAUAGGGAAAACUAAUCCAAGGUGGGAAAAAAAUCAGAAUAUUGGUUCUAUCUGUGGGGUGGUGGUGGAGAUGGACUAGGAAGG
rnacentral:lncRNA from 1 species